rnacentral:rRNA from 1 species
UCGACCGCCUGGGGAGUACGGCCGCAAGGUUAAAACUCAAAUGAAUUGACGGGGGCCCGCACAAGCGGUGGAGCAUGUGGUUUAAUUCGAUGCAACGCGAAGAACCUUACCUGGUCUUGACAUCCACAGAACUUUCCAGAGAUGGAUUGGUGCCUUCGGGAACUGUGAGACAGGUGCUGCAUGGCUGUCGUCAGCUCGUGUUGUGAAAUGUUGGGUUAAGUCCCGCAACGAGCGCAACCCUUAUCCUUUGUUGCCAGCGGUCCGGCCGGGAACUCAAAGGAGACUGCCAGUGAUAAACUGGAGGAAGGUGGGGAUGACGUCAAGUCAUCAUGGCCCUUACGACCAGGGCUACACACGUGCUACAAUGGCGCAUACAAAGAGAAGCGACC